rnacentral:rRNA from 1 species
ACUCAAAAGUAUAUGUGCCAAGUGACCAGGAAACUCUGGUGGAGGCUCGAAGCGAUACUGACGUGCAAAUCGUUCGUCUGACUUGGGUAUAGGGGCGAAAGACUAAUCGAACCAUCUAGUAGCUGG